GAGUCGGCCUGCGCGGAAGAUGUAACGGGGCUAAACCAUGCACCGAAGCUGCGGCAGCGACGCUGAUGCGUUGUUGGGUAGGGGAGCGUUCUGUAAGCCUGCGAAGGUGGCCUGUGAGGGUUGCUGGAGGUAUCAGAAGUGCGAAUGCUGACAUAAGUAACGAUAAAGCGGGUGAAAAGCCCGCUCGCCGGAAGACCAAGGGUUCCUGUCCAACGUUAAUCGGGGCAGGGUGAGUCGACCCCUAAGGCGAGGCCGAAAGGCGUAGUCGAUGGGAAACGGGUUAAUAUUCCCGUACUUGGUGUUACUGCGAAGGGGGGACGGAGAAGGCUAUGUUGGCCGGGCGACGGUUGUCCCGGUUUAAGCGUGUAGGUGUGUGUUCCAGGUAAAUCCGGUUCACUUUAACACUGAGGCGUGAUGACGAGGCACUACGGUGCUGAAGCAACAAAUGCCCUGCUUCCAGGAAAAGCCUCUAAGCAUCAGGUAACAUCAAAUCGUACCCCAAACCGACACAGGUGGUCAGGUAGAGAAUACCAAGGCGCUUGAGAGAACUCGGGUGAAGGAACUAGGCAAAAUGGUGCCGUAACUUCGGGAGAAGGCACGCUGACACGUAGGUGAAGUGAUUUACUCAUGGAGCUGAAGUCAGUCGAAGAUACCAGCUGGCUGCAACUGUUUAUUAAAAACACAGCACUGUGCAAACACGAAAGUGGACGUAUACGGUGUGACGCCUGCCCGGUGCCGGAAGGUUAAUUGAUGGGGUCAGCGCAAGCGAAGCUCCUGAUCGAAGCCCCGGUAAACGGCGGCCGUAACUAUAACGGUCCUAAGGUAGCGAAAUUCCUUGUCGGGUAAGUUCCGACCUGCACGAAUGGCGUAAUGAUGGCCAGGCUGUCUCCACCCGAGACUCAGUGAAAUUGAACUCGCUGUGAAGAUGCAGUGUACCCGCGGCAAGACGGAAAGACCCCGUGAACCUUUACUAUAGCUUGACACUGAACAUUGAGCCUUGAUGUGUAGGAUAGGUGGGAGGCUUUGAAGUGUGGACGCCAGUCUGCAUGGAGCCGACCUUGAAAUACCACCCUUUAAUGUUUGAUGUUCUAACGUGGACCCGUGAUCCGGGUUGCGGACAGUGUCUGGUGGGUAGUUUGACUGGGGCGGUCUCCUCCUAAAGAGUAACGGAGGAGCACGAAGGUUGGCUAAUCCUGGUCGGACAUCAGGAGGUUAGUGCAAUGGCAUAAGCCAGCUUGACUGCGAGCGUGACGGCGCGAGCAGGUGCGAAAGCAGGUCAUAGUGAUCCGGUGGUUCUGAAUGGAAGGGCCAUCGCUCAACGGAUAAAAGGUACUCCGGGGAUAACAGGCUGAUACCGCCCAAGAGUUCAUAUCGACGGCGGUGUUUGGCACCUCGAUGUCGGCUCAUCACAUCCUGGGGCUGAAGUAGGUCCCAAGGGUAUGGCUGUUCGCCAUUUAAAGUGGUACGCGAGCUGGGUUUAGAACGUCGUGAGACAGUUCGGUCCCUAUCUGCCGUGGGCGCUGGAGAACUGAGGGGGGCUGCUCCUAGUACGAGAGGACCGGAGUGGACGCAUCACUGGUGUUCGGGUUGUCAUGCCAAUGGCACUGCCCGGUAGCUAAAUGCGGAAGAGAUAAGUGCUGAAAGCAUCUAAGCACGAAACUUGCCCCGAGAUGAGUUCUCCCUGAGACUUUAGGUCUCCUGAAGGAACGUUGAAGACGACGACGUUGAUAGGCCGGGUGUGUAAGCGCAGCGAUGCGUUGAGCUAACCGGUACUAAUGAACCGUGAGGCUUAACCUUACA
rnacentral:rRNA from 2 species